rnacentral:rRNA from 1 species
GGCAAAUGGAAUUCCCAGUGUAGCAGUGAAAUGCGUAGAGAUUGGGAGGAACACCAGUGGCGAAGACGAUUGCUGGACUGCAACUGACGUUGAGAUGCGAAAGCUAGGGGAGCAAACGGGAUUAGAUACCCCGGUAGUCCUAGCCGUAAACGAUGGAUACUAGGUGUAGAGGGUAUCGACCCCUUCUGUGCCGCAGCGAACGCAAUAAGUAUCCCGCCUGGGGAGUACGGUCGCAAGACUGAAACUCAAAGGAAUUGACGGGGGCCCGCACAAGCAGUGGAGCAUGUGGUUUAAUUCGACGCAACCCGAAGAACCUUACCAGGUCUUGACAUUUAUGGAACGAGGUAGAGAUACCUUGGUGCCCUUUCGGGGGAACCAUAAAACAGGUGGUGCAUGGUUGUCGUCAGCUCGUGUCGUGAGAUGUUGGGUUAAGUCCCGCAACGAGCGCAACCCUUGAUAAUAGUUGCCAGCAAGUAAGGUUGGGCACUCUAUUGUGACUGCCGUAGAUAAUACGGAGGAAGGUGGGGAUGACGUCAAAUCAUCAUGCCCUAUAUGACCUGGGCUACACACGUGCUACAAUGGGGUGAACAACGGGAAGCAAGCCAGCGAUGGUAAGCGGACCCCUAAAAACACCUCUCAGUUCAGAUUGCAGGCUGCAACCCGCCUGCAUGAAGUCGGAAUUGCUAGUAAUCGCGGAUCAGCAAGCCGCGGUGAAUACGUUCCCGGGCCUUGUACACACCGCCCGU